rnacentral:rRNA from 1 species
AUGUUGCAAAUACAGCAAGGUCAAGAGGUGGGUGUUGCCAAUCAGAUAAAAGGAAAUUGUGUAAGAAAGCCUAAUGACAUUAACCUAGAAAAAAUCCUAACAAUCCCAUUAAACAGAAGGUCUACUAUUAGGUCACUAGCCUGGCAACUGGGAUGUAGCCCUACCACACUUCAUAGAAAGUUUAUGCUGGAUUUGAUAAGGAGGCAUACAGACUGUGUGAAGCUGGCUCUAAAGGAAAAGAAUAAGAUGGAUAGGAUGAAAUUUUAUUUGUCGAUGCUUGAUGAGGCAACAACAACAACUGCGAGGCCUAAGUUCAAGACUAUGCAUAAUGUUGUCCAUAUUGACGAGAAGUGGUUUAACAUGACAAAGAAGAAUAGAACAUAUUAUCUGCUGGAUGGGGAGGAAGAGCCUACGAGGCCUAUACAUGGCAUUGUAUUGGCAACGUGA